UUCACUCCUACCCCCAAUUUCCUUAAACAAAACCAUCACCGCCAGGUGGUGUCUCCACACACAGCGUUUGGGGCACCACCCCUGGCAGCCCCCGCUCCGCUCGGGCACAGGGGUUUCUCUCCCAGUGCCCUGGCCAGGCCCCGGCUGCAGUGGAGAAGCAGAGCGACAAGGGCCUUUUUGAACACCCAGCCUUCUGGAGCCCGGCUCGGACGCCGCAGCUGCCAGCUCUCCGGGGACCCCGGCCCCGCGCCCCCGCCCGGCCCCUCCCCUGCCCGGCCUGCCCGGCUCCGGGUCUCACCCAGAAGAGCAGGUUGAAGCCGAGCAGCAGGGCCCCGCGAGCGCAGCGCCCUCGGUGCUUCUCCGGGCAUCUGCGGGGAAGGAGCGUCCGCUGGGGACCCGAGACCCAUUUAAUCAGCGCCCUGUGCAGAGACUCAUUUGAGGCCUGCGGUGGCUGUACAGAAUGAGGACGCGGCCCCGGUGGCUAUGGAAACCUAGGAAGGUGGCCUCGGGUAGAAGAGCAAAGUGGGACCCCGGGUCGCCUUGAAGCUGGCAGCACCCGUCGCGGGGCACCCGACCCGGGGCUGUGCUCCCCCGGCGCCGGACGAGCGCACAAGCCGCUGGGCCCCUUCUGGGGGACCCUCCGUCGGUCCCUCCCGCGCUCCUCCGGGAAC